GCAUAUCAAUAAGCGGAGGAAAAGAAACUAACAAGGAUUCCCUUAGUAACGGCGAGUGAAGCGGGAAGAGCUCAAAUUUGAAAUCUUCAGGGUUCUACCUUGACGAAUUGUAGUUUAAAGAAGUGUUUUCUGUUAGAUGAGUAGCAAAAGUUCCUUGGAAUGGGACAUCAUAGAGGGUGAGAACCCCGUAUUUGGUUAUUCAUUCUAGCUUUGUGAUGCACUUUCAAAGAGUCGGAUUGUUUGGGAAUGCAGUCCAAAAUGGGUGGUAAAUUUCAUCUAAAGCUAAAUAUUGGCGAGAGACCGAUAGCGAACAAGUACCGUGAGGGAAAGAUGAAAAGAACUUUGAAAAGAGAGUUAAACAGUACGUGAAAUUGUCAAAAGGGAAGCGUUUGACACCAGUGCUGUUUUUCCGAAAAUCAAUUACGAAUGGCUUGAUUUUGUGUUGUAUUGACCUUAUCAGCUUUCUUCACUUUUUUCGAGUCUUUCUUAAUGCACUUUUCGGUUAACAAGUCAACACCAAUUUCUUUUGUUGUAAAAGAGUAUUCGGAAGGUGGCUUUCUUUUCGGAGAAAGUGUUUAUAGCCCUAUACUUCUACAAUCGGAGAGAUUGAGGUCUGCAGCGUAGAUCCUUCGGGGUUAGAUACACUUGUGCUAAGUUGUAGCUUUUCAUAGACAACUUGUUGACUAUGUUUAGUCAUGCGGCUUACUCGCUUGUGCUAUUUUACCUACGCUUAGGAUGUUGACAAAAUGGUUUUAAACGACCCGUCUUGAAACACGGACC
rnacentral:rRNA from 1 species